rnacentral:lncRNA from 1 species
AGUGAAUUCCCACCGAAAGCAACCAUUUGUCCUUGUGCAACACAACAGGUGCACUGCCUGUGGGGGCAGGGCUCCUCAGAAGAAGGAUAGACUCCUCUUACAAUGACUUUUUUUCUCCUAAAACCAUAUGGAUAGACAAGUUCUAGAUAUUUCCAUCUAUUACGUUGGAUUUGGUAAUCAAGAAGCCAUACUUCUUUGACAGUGGAAUUCUGAUUCUUUUUGGCAGGGAGUGAACUCCUCCUGUUCCCAGUCCGUGGCCUUUGAGUGAGCUCCCAUCCCUGGCUCCUAGGACGGGACAGCUAACACAGAGCUCCGAGUCAAGCAGACACAGUGGGUGCCAUCCUGACACCUCAAGGGAACAGCACAUCUGGGAAAAGUGUCUAAUAGAGAAGAGGAGUCAAGAGAAGAAGGGGGAGAAUCACAGCCCUGAGGACACCAUCUAUGUUCUGGAAUUCUACCAUGCUUAAAGAGGAGGAAGCUAAGGCACAGAGAAGUUAAUGUGCUCAAGACUAUACCACUGGUGAGAGGCAAAGCAAAGAUUUAAACCCACCUUGAGUUCAGAGUCUUCCCUCUUCUUAAUAACUAAACUGCACCAUAAUUUGAAAGACACAGCUUUUCCUUUGCCUUCUGCCAUGAUUGUAAGUUUCCUGAGGCCUUCCCAGCGAUGUGGAACUCAUUCAUGUUGUCCAACUGAACCUCAUCUAAAUAUUCCUGUAGAGCAUCAUUAUUUAAGUUUAAAGGCACUUAAAAUCAAGUCACACAAUGGUUAUGGAUUGGAAUCAGUGCAGGCUAUUUAUAGAAAAGCACUGAAUAGACAUAUAGAAUGGACAGAAGAUGUGCUGUUUUAAAGCCUGCUGUAUUUAUGGCAACAUCCCAACAAGGCUCAUUGGGCACCUACUAUGUGCAAGAUACUAAAUAAUGCAUUUCAUUCUUUUUGCUGUACACAGGAAACCACACAUUCAAAAUAAUGCUAACCUGUCAAGUUAUUGAUCUGCACUGUACAUAUUUCCUGGUCAUAGGCAGCUUCCACACAAGAACAUCUGGAUGCAAAUUAAAGAAUUCAAUUACUCAAGCCUAAGGUGAUAGAGGAGACCUCGGCUACUCUGCCUGAGCACAUCACUGCUGGAUCUCAAAAUCUGCAAGAACUUCCUAGGGCUUCAGGAACUUUCAUGUGCAUACCAGUCACCUGGGAAUCUUGUUACGAUGCAUAUUCUUUUUCAGUAAGCCCAAAUUCUGCAAUUCUUAUAAGGUCUUAGGGGACAUGAUGUUUGCUUCUAGUGGUCCAUGGUCUACUCCUGAAGGUCCACCAUGCCCAGCUUCAUCUCCCCACCCUCUGGAAACUCUCCUGUACCCAAGCCACUUGCUCUCUUCUAAAUAGGCAUUGUGUUCCCAUGUUCCCAUGUGUCUGCCUCUUUCAACUUCUCCUCUAAAAAUUCUCCAUGACCCCCAAGCAUAAGCCUCCAGCAGCAAGCUCAAAAAUGCUUUCUACUCUGUUGUGUUGCCCGGCCCACUUCAAGAGUAGAUGCUCAAUUCCUUCUUCCCCUAGUCGUAUUUGCUGCUACUUUUGCAGGCUGCUGGAACACUUUCACUCUGAGGAUUCUGAUGAACACAGUUCUUGCCCUCUUCACUUUUCCAAUCUGGUUGCAGGCACAGCGGGGGACAGCAGGAGUGCAACACAGUAACUUAAUAUAAUAUGGAGCUGCUAUUAUGGAGGGAAACAUUCACUGCUCUGAAAGGACUCAACAGCUGAGUCUUAAAGAAGGAUUUUACAAGAUUGACAAAGAAAUGGGUUAUCUCCAGAUAGGAAGGAAAAAUCACAAGGAAUAGUACAGCAAGGAAAGAGGAAACAGCACUGGACUUGGGGAAAAGGGAAAUCCUUGAGAUGUUGCUAAGGCAUAAAGAGCAAGACAGAGAGUGUCAGAAGAUGACACUGACGUCACCUGACUCCUGCUGCUGAGCUUCUCUGACAUUUUCUCAAGGGCUCAAGGCUUGGAUACCCUCUGAUAUGGUUUAUCUGUGUCCCCGCCCAAAUCUCACCUUGGUUUGUAAUCAUCUCCAUGUGUCAAGAAUGGGACCAGGUGGAGAUAAUUGAAUCAUGGGGGCAGUUUCCCACAUACUGUUCACAUGGUAGUAAAUAAGUCUCAUGAGCUCUGAUGGUUUUAUAAAUGGGAGUUCCCCUGCACAGGCUCUUUUUGCCUGCCACCAUGGAAGACACCCCUUUGCCCUUCCUUUAUUUUCUGCCACAAUUGUGAGGCCUCCCUAGCUAUGUGGAAUUGUGAGUGCAUUAAACCUCUUUCCUUUACAAAAUUACCCAGUCUUGGGCAUGUCUUUAUUAGCAGCAUGAGGACAGACUAAUACACCCUCUUUCAAUACCUAAAAUAGACAAAGCCCUAUUUGGAAUUUUGGAAAAACACAAUCUAGUCUCCGAAGGUAGGCACAGAAGCUCUGAGCUGACACAAUAUUGAAGUCGUUACUUGCCUGGUCCUUAGGCAUUUCCUAGUCCACAAUCACACAUCCACAUCUUCAAUAGCAGCAAUUUCCAUCUCCAGUCUUUGCUUUCCCCAGAAGCAGAUCCUGAAGCAAGAAAUUGAAUGCAAGUAGUUUAUUUGGGAUGUGAAGACCAGUAGGGGAGUGGAGAAGUGAGACAAAGAAGGGAAGGCCAUCAACACAGGGUGCGUUAUCAAGCCAGCUAUCAGUGUGGACAACUGUAGCUUACUCCCUUGAGGAAUCCCUGGGAGUCAGUGUGAAACACAAAUCCCUGAGUUACCCACCCACCCCUACCCCUAGAAGGGCAAGGGAGCUUGGUAUGCAGGCAUCCAUUUCCACUAGUCAUUGGCUGAGGGCUGCUAGUGCUGGGAUGGUACAGAAGUUACUUCCCUGGCUCUUCCUGCCUGCUGUAGGUAUUACAUAGCCUUGAGAGAACCAAGAAGUUGAU